rnacentral:lncRNA from 1 species
CCAAAUGAAAAAAAUGUUUUGUUAGUUCCAAAGAAUGGUUCAUAAAUGUGUACAUAUCAUCUUCUGUGAUUCAUUGACCAUAUAUAUAUAAUAUUCACACACAGCACCUGCAACUACUUGUUCCAUGUUGUCACUACCUCAUUAACUUCAAUCUUAUUGGGUUGAGGAAGAAACAUUUGUUUUAUGUUCUCUCUGUGACAAAGUGCUCUGAAGUCUAAACCAAUCAUGCUUUGAAAAUUCCCUAAUUUUUGAGCUAACAGCAAAGCUUAAUGAAGUUGCUUAUCCUUUUUGUUUUUUUUGGUGGGUUAAUACACUUUUCCUCGCUUAAACUAUCAAUAAAUUUUCACUUUGGCCCUCAAACAAAAUUUGUUAGCACUUUGUCACUUAACCUAUUAAUUUUUCCAAUUAGAAUUAAUUCCGUCCAUAUUCUUGACGGAAUUGUACAAGUGGAGCAAUGUCAUCCAAAACCAGUAUCCAAAACCCACCCAUAAUGCCAAUAUCCAAUAUCUAAGACCCAGGAUGACCCAUAACCUAAUCCUAUUUGAUACCAAUUCCAAAUCAAAACCCUAACUCCACAUAGCAACAAACUCUAUAUUCUAUCAUCUUCUUCAUCACCUCCAUCCCCACUGAAACCCUAACCUUGCCCUAACCCCACCUCCCCACCCCCCAUCGUGUGAGAAAGAGAGAAAUAAUAGAUUGGGGCACCACCAAACCAUAACUACCACAAUCAGAACCACAACAACAAAAUCACCACAAUGAGAGAGAAGGAUAGAGGAUUGAAUCGCACCAGAGUCACAAGCUUCGGCCAUUGUCGUAGCUGAAUUUGCAUUCAGUUGCCACUGCCCGCUUUUAGAGUCGCACAACCACGAUAAUUUCGCCACCGCUGCUGGAGUCUCACAUACUUUCUCUCUCUUUCUUUCUUUGUGCAAAGUUGUGUGUGGGAUGUUAUUGUUGUGUGGGGUGAGUGGUGUCGGGUGAGACUAGUGCAGAGGUGGGUGGUGGGGGUGGAAUGUGAGGUUAGGGUUAAGGAUUGGAUUAAAGGUGGUGUGGUUAGGGUUAGGGUUAGGGAUUUGGGUUUGGGGUCUUGAGAUUUGAUGUCUUGGUCAAUGUUCAUGUGGUGUCCACAUAUAUAUUUUUUCUUUGGUUUUUUUUAAUAUUCACGUUGUUAGUAUUGGGCUGAAUUUAACCAAUCAAGUUAGAGUUUAAUGAGAAAAAAUAUUUGUUUGAGGGGUAAAAUGUGAAUCAAUUAAUAAUUUAAGGGAAAAAGUUUAAUUAGCACUUUUUUGGAGGGUGUUGGGAAAAUAAAUUCAUGUAGUAGAAGACAAAUCUUGAAUGGUGACGGAGAAUUACAGAGUGGGCAAUGCUGAGGGAGGCAAAAUUAGCUUGGCCCACACUCCAAUUGGAAAGAUAAGAAAGCCCAAUGUGAAUAUUCCAAAGAAUAUGCUCCCUCCUAUAUGGAUAAGGGCCUGUUUGGCUAGAGGACGAGGGGGGCGGAUGACUUUUUUUCCCGGAUAACUUUUUUAUCCGUCGUUUGAAUGGUGAAAACCCGUCCGGAUAACUUUUUUCCACGAAUAAUAUUUUUCCCCAGCGGAAGAUAGAGCUGAUAAUUUAUGAGUGGCCCUCAGUAUAGUUAAAAGUUAUCCGGGAUGAUAAGGGGUGGUGGGAUAAAUAAAGAGAAUAUAUAUACAAAAACAAAUAUAUAAUAUCUACAUAUUAAAAAUAUAUAUAUGUUAAGUCCCUAUGGCGUCAAUCAACGAUCUAUGCAAAUAUUAAAAAUUUGAUUUCCAAAUUUGAAAAUUGGUUAGUAAUAUUUCUACUUGAAAAAUUUUAAUUCCAAGUUUGAAAAAUAAUGGCUAGCAACAAUUUCUGACUUUGAGGAAUGUGGUUGCAAUUUUAAAAAAUUGUUAGAAACAAUUUCUAACUUUGAAAAUCUAGUAUGGCAAAUUUUAAAUUUGGAUGCAACAAUUCUGACUUUGAAAAUGUGAUUUUAAAUUUAAAAAUUGGCUAGCAAAAUUUCAAAUUCUCCUCCCCCCUCUCUCUCUUCCCACGGUUUUAUAUUCUUCUAAAGACCUAUAAGUACAUAUCGUUAGUUAGCUUUUCAUUUCAUAAAGAAUCAGUGAGAGAAAAAUAAGUUUACACUCCAAACAUUCUUUCUUUUCAUAUAUUCAUUUUCCUUUGAAUCCUUUCAUUCAAGUUUUAAUUUCAUACAAGAGUUUCUAGUGGAGAGAUAUCCUUGUAAAAUCUUCAUUUGUAUAGCCUUCUCAAAAAGAGAAUUGUUAUUGUGAGAGAAUAUCUCAAAUCCUAUCAACAUUUGAUUGUAUCAAGAGGUUGGUGUGACCCUUGUAGGUGUGAAUGGCUUUUCCCCCCCUUGUGAAGAAAAGGGGUGUGCUCUUGACUGGUAAAUAUUGAAACUCCACCCGUAAGGAGUUUGGAUUAGUGGAGUGAGAAUCUCAAGUAGUUGUGCCUGUGGAGUGGACUAGGUUGGUAGACCGAACACUAUAAAUCGGCCGAGUUUGAAUCUCUCUCUCUCCCUACUCUUUAUUAUUGUGCUCAUUUAUAUUCUUUGCAAUUAUACUGCUUCUCUAAACUUUUAAUUCAGUAUAUUUUUUAUUAAAAGAAAAAUUUGUCAAAACCCUAUUCACCGAUUCACCCCCCCUCUAGGUUGAUUAUCUGGGUAACAAUAUAAUACAUAUAUAAAUAUCUAAUUAUAAAGAUAUUCAUACAUAAUAGUGAUAGAUCGAUAUUAUAUAUGUAGGUAUAAUGUAAUAUAUAUGUUUUAAAUAUCGUACUAUUUUAUAUUUUUAUUUCUCGCUAUAUAUUUUCUUCCUUAUCCCCACAAUUAUCCACCAUUCUAAAAAGUAUCAAAGGGGUCGUUUGCUUCCGGAUAGCAACCAAGGAAAACUUUUAGAAGAGAAUAACUUUGGAAGGAGAUAAUUUUUGGAGGGGGAUCCUUAUUUAAUUUUUUUUGGAUACUUUUUAGAAUAGGUGUAUAAAGUGGGGAUAAGAAGAAACAUAUAGAAGAGAACACAAAAUAUAAAUAUCUAGAUAUUAUAUAUUUUAUUUCUCUCUCUAUAUUUUUUUUAUCCCCUACCCCCUUAUCCACCUGGAUAACUUUUAGUUAGGGUGAGGGUCACCCAAAAAUUAUCCGUCUGCUGGGAAAAAAAUUAUCCGGGAAAAAAAAUUAUCCGCCUGGCAUAAACCAUCCAAACGCCGGAUAGAAAAAAUUAUCCCGGGGGAAAAGUUAUCCCCCUCGCUAUCCGCUAGCCAAACAAGUCAUAUAAAGUUAAAAGUUAUCCCCCUCAAAAAAUUAUCCUCCUCUAAAAGUUAUCUCUCCUCUAAAACUUAUCCCCUUGAUUCUAUCCGGUGGCCAAACGACCCCUAAAGACUAGAAUCAAGCUGCUCUUCGGUCCAAAAAUCGACUUCACCAGUGCAAUUCUAAGCAUUUUUGAUACCAUUUUAAGUUUAUUUUAAUAAUAUGAACGGUUCAUAUUGUAAACCUCAUUAAAAACUUUAACACUGUUAAAAAACACGUUAAUUGCAUACAGAUCAAUAAUUUAUCAAUAACAAUUUAGAUCAAAAUAAAUGAGUAUAACAAUAUGUAUCAAUGUAAUUUUUUACAAUAUUAAUUUUUUAUGACAGAAUCUAAAAUAUGUGCAGCUUGGAUCAUGAAAAUGGGCAUAAAAUGAGGUCUCAAAUACUUGAACUGCAUCGAUGCAAUUUAUUUAUUUUUUAUCAUCUAAUGUGGUGCAUUUAUAAGCAUUGAUACAUAAAUUCAAUAAAUGAUUCAGUUAUAUCUAACAUGUACGUCAUGUCAUAAAUCAAAAUAAAAAAAAGUAAGAGGUAAACUUAACAAUUUUUAUAUGUAUAUAUCAUACCCACAAAUAGAGGUAUUACAUGGACCGCCAGUUGACCCGUUUGAUAAAAAACCUAGGCCCGUCUAAUUCUAUUGGCCCAGCUCAUUUGUGUCUUGUGCCGUGUCAUGAAUUUUUUUUAAUGAAUUAAUUUAAUUUCUCAAAAAUCUAAAAUAAUUUAAAAUUUUGCUCACAUAAAUAUAUUGUACAUAUGCUUUGUCAUGCUCCGUGCUCCAAAAAUAAUAGUCCAACCCUACCUAUCAACGUGCCCGUACCUAUCCGCCUAUUUUACACCUUUGCCUCGAGGUAAAGGGAAGUUCUCACUUAAUAUACAAGUUCUACAUUCAUUUUUCACUUCCAUGCAAAAUGGCUAAACUGGGGCAUCCUCGCCCCUAAGUUAUGUUAUAACUAUUGUUUGAUUCAUUUUUCACUUCCAUGCAAAAUGGCUAAAACUGGGGCAUCCCGCCCCAAGUUAUGUUAUAAAGUAAGAUUGUUUGAUAUAGUUGCACUUAUAUUAGAAUUGUUUAGUUAAGGUAGGCAAUAACGGUGAUUUGGGUGGACUUGGAAGCUUAACACUUGUCAUUGCCUGGAUAUGUACGUCAUAGCCCAUCAUUUUGGGCUUAAAGCCCAGUGAUUCAAUGAUUUAUGGGCCGAUUGUAUACAGAUUACAGUCCAGCCUUCCUUCAGCAAAUCCAAAUAAAAUCGAACGGUCAAAAACAAAACUAGUUCGUCGUCACUCGUCACUCUUCAAAACGAGAACCAAAUUUCUGAAAUCAAUGGCGGGAACUGAUCCGCAGAAGCAACUCCUAACCCAAAUUCGCGACUUUGCCACAGAGAAAUCUCAAGGAGGUGGUCUCUUCUUCAUCACUUUCCGUUUGGUUUGGGGCCUGAGAAAUUAGGAAAAUAGAAAAGAAAAACAGUUUAAUUUUAGCUGAUCAGAUUUCAUUUAUCCAUGUUUCCUCCCUAUUUGGUUUUAUGUUUUAACAAAUGAAGCCGAAUUUUUGAUCGUACGUGAUCGAGAUGUUGCAGAGCGGCGAAUAGUCCGUUCUGAAGAAGCGGAAUCCAAGAGCUUCGAUCGAGUUAGAUUUGGUGAACGCUGAACUAGAAGCUCAAUCGUCCUUAAGAAACGGCUGAGCAAAUCUUAAAAGG